rnacentral:rRNA from 1 species
UGGCUCAGGAUUAACGCUGGCGGCGUGCCUAACCCAUGCAAGUCGUACGAUCCAGUAGCAAUACUGGAGAGUGGCGGAAGGGUGAGUAACACGUUGGUGAUCUGCCUCGUCGCAGGGAACAACAGUCCGAAAGGAUUGCUAAUACCCAAAAGGAUCAGCAGUUCGUUCUGUUGAUCAGAGUCGAAAGGCGUGACGAGAGGAGCCUGCGGCCCAUCAGCUGGUUGGCGGGGUAACGGCCCACCAAGGCAACGACGGGUAGGGGGUCUGAGAGGAUGGCCCCCCACACUGGAACUGAAACACGGUCCAGACGCCUACGGGUGGCAGCAGGGAGAAUAUUGGGCAAUGGGCGAAAGCCUGACCCAGCAACGCCGCGUGG